rnacentral:rRNA from 1 species
CCUACGGGAGGCAGCAGUCGGGAAUCUUGCGCAAUGGGCGAAAGCCUGACGCAGCAACACCGUGUGAGCGACGAAGGCCUUCGGGUCGUAAAGCUCUGUUGUUGGGGACGAAGGGUUAGGGGUUAAUAGCCCCGAGCCUGACGGUACCCUUCGAGGAAGCCCCGGCUAACUACGUGCCAGCAGCCGCGGUAAUACGUAGGGGGCGAGCGUUGUCCGGAAUUAUUGGGCGUAAAGAGCGUGUAGGCGGUUCGGUAAGUCUGCCGUGAAAACCCAGGGCUCAACCCUGGGCGUGCGGUGGAUACUGUCGGGCUAGAGGGUGGUGGAGGCGAGUGGAAUUCCCGGUGUGCGGUGAAAUGCGCAGAUAUCGGGAGGAACACCAGUACCGAAGGCGGCUCCCUGGGCCAUACCUGACGCUGAGACGCGAAAGCGUGGGGAGCAAACACGAUUAAAUACCCUGGUAGUCCACGCCGUAAACAAUGAACACUAGGUGUGGGCGGACUCGAAUCUGUCCGUGCCGCAGCCAACGCGAUAAGUGUUCCGCCUGGGGAGUACAGCCGCAAGGCUAAAACUCAAAAGAAUUGACGGGGGCGCGCACAAGCAGCGGACCAUGCUCUUUACUUCGAUGCUUCGCGAAGAACCUUACCUGGGCUUGACAUCUACGGGAAAGCCUCUGGAAACAGGGGCCCCCCUUCGGGGCUCGUAUACAGGUGCUGCAUGGCUGUCGUCAUCUCGUGUCUUGAGAUGUUGGGCUAAGUCCCGCAACGAGCGCAUCCCUUGCCGAGUGUUGCCAGCAAGCCCAAAGGCUGUCGGGGACUCUGUCGGGACUGCCGGUGACUAACUCGAGGAAGUGGGGACGACUUCAGUCAUCAUGGUUCGUUACGUCAGGGUGACACACAUGCUACAAUGGCCGGGA